GAAAUCAAACACCAUCUAAAUCAAUUUUCAAAAUGCUUAUAAACUUAGUGAGAUAUGCAAUUUGCACGAGUUGUUUUGAUAAUUUAUAAUCUAUAAAUACAUGUCAAAGGUAUGUCCUCUCAGUGAGUUGUUUUAUUAGUGUAUAUUGCAUUUUAUAAUUCAUAUUUAGCGUAUUACUAAAAUAUUUGUUUUCUCGCAUACUGCUUUAUUAAAUUAUUGAAUUG
rnacentral:lncRNA from 1 species